ensembl:lncRNA
GUUCAGGAUGAGGCUUAGUCCUCUGGGGUGUAGGUUCAGGAUGAGGCUUAGUCCUCGGGGGUGUAGGUUCAGGAUGAGGCUUAGUCCUCGGGGGUGUAGGUUCAGGAUGAGGCUUAGUCCUCAAGGGUGUAGGUUCAGGAUGAGGCUUAGUCCUCGGGGGUGUAGUGGUCCCAUGGUGUUUAUGUUUGCAUACUAUUGUUUGUACAGAUGAACGUGGCACCUUCAGGCAUUUGGAAAUUGCUCCCAAGGAUGAACCAGACUUGUGGAGGUCUACAAUUUAUUUUCUGAGGUCUUGGCUGAUUUCUUUAGAUUUUACCAUAAUGUCAAGCAAAGAGGCACUGAGUUUGAAGGUAGGCCUUGAAAUACAUCCACAGGUACACCUCCAAUUGACUCAAAUGAUAUCAAUUAGCCUAUCAGAAGCUUCUAAAGCCAUG